rnacentral:rRNA from 1 species
GAUGUUCAUAACCCUUUGUUGUCCGACUCUGUUGCCUCCGGGGCGACCCUGUUCUUCGGGCGGGGGCUCCGGGUGGACACUUCAAACUCUUGCGUAACUUUGCAGUCUGAGUAAACUUAAUUAAUAAAUUAAAACUUUUAACAACGGAUCUCUUGGUUCUGGCAUCGAUGAAGAACGCAGCGAAAUGCGAUAAGUAAUGUGAAUUGCAGAAUUCAGUGAAUCAUCGAAUCUUUGAACGCACAUUGCGCCCCCUGGUAUUCCGGGGGGCAUGCCUGUUCGAGCGUCAUUUCACCACUCAAGCCUCGCUUGGUAUUGGGCAACGCGGUCCGCCGCGUGCCUCAAAUCGACCGGCUGGGUCUUCUGUCCCCUAAGCGUUGUGGAAACUAUUCGCUAAAGGGUGUUCGGGAGGCUACGCCGUAAAACAACCCCAUUUCUAAGGUUGACCUCGGAUCAGGUAGGGAUACCCGCUGAACUUAAGCAUAUCAAUA